rnacentral:rRNA from 1 species
UACCAGCACCCCGAGUGGUCGGGACGAUGAUUGGGCCUAAAGCAUCCGUAGCCGGUUCUACAAGUCUUCCGUUAAAUCCACCUGCUUAACAGAUGGGCUGCGGAGGAUACUAUAGAGCUAGGAGGCGGGAGAGGCAAGCGGUACUUAGUGGGUAGGGGUAAAAUCCGUUGAUCCAUUGAAGACCACCAGUGGCGAAGGCGGCUUGCCAGAACGCACUCGACGGUGAGGGAUGAAAGCUGGGGGAGCAAACCGG